ACGGCAUGUUGCCGAGAAAAUUUAGUUUCUAAUUUUUUAGGUUAUGGUUUUUCUUUUAAAUCUGCCGGUGAUAUUUAAUUUUUGUUGAUAUUAAAAAUUUUUAGUUAUGACUUCAAGAAAACGGUCUGAGAACGUUCCUUCAGAAAUGGCACUUAUUUCUGGACAAGGAACAUCCCCCGUAAUAGAAGAAAAGGUCAAAAUGAAAAAACAAUUAGGACUUAUUGAAGGUGUUGCUAUAAUUUUAGGAAUUAUAUUUGGAUCAGGCAUAUUCAUAUCUCCAAAGGGUGUUAUAAAAGAAGUAGGCUCAGUUGGAGCUUCUUUAAUCAUAUGGAUAGUAUGUGGUCUAUUAUCGAUGAUAGGUGCUCUGUGUUACGCCGAACUUGGCACAUCAAUUUUACAAUCUGGAGGUGAUUAUGCCUAUAUCAAUGAAGCAUUUGGUUCACUUCCUGCAUUCCUUUAUUUAUGGGACGCUAAUUUGAUUUUUGUCCCUACAACAAAUGCUAUUAUGGGAUUGACAUUUGCUUCAUAUGUUUUGCAACCUUUUUAUGUUGACUGUGUAGUUCCAGAAUCUGCAGUGCGUUUAAUUGCAGCUUUGACGAUAUGUUUGCUCACAUUUAUUAAUUGCUAUGAUGUGAAGUCCACUACCAAAAUGCAGAAUGUAUUCAUGUUCACUAAAAUUGGAGCUUUAGUCAUCAUUAUUCUAGCUGGUUUAACUUGGAUGGGUUUGGGCCAUGCUGAAAACUUCGAAAAUGCUUUUGAAAAUACAAAUACCGAUCCUGGCAAAAUAUCUGUUGCAAUUUAUUCUGGCAUAUUUUCUUAUUCGGGAUGGAAUUAUCUGAAUUUUAUGACAGAAGAAUUAAAAGACCCAUAUGUUAAUUUACCUCGGGCCAUAUAUAUAUCAUUGCCGAUUGUGACUAUUAUUUAUGUGAUGGCAAAUGUUGCAUAUUUAGCUGUUUUAACACCUCAAGCAAUGAUUGCGUCCUCUGCUAUUGCUGUGAGUUUUGGUGACAAAAUAUUGGGUAUGGCUUCAUGGAUCAUUCCAGUCAUGGUUGCCUUGUCAGCAUUUGGUGGCCUUAGUGUUCACAUUAUGACCUCUUCUCGAAUGUGUUUUGUAGGAGCACGAAACGGUCACAUGCCGGCCAUGCUUUCUCACAUUAAUGUCAAUAAAUUAACUCCGACACCUAGCCUUGUGUUUCUGAGUUUGCUUAGCCUUGUUAUGCUGUGCACAACUGACGUACAUGUUCUUAUAACAUAUUGCAGUAUUGUUGAAUCUACAUUUAUAAUGCUUUCUGUCAGUUCGGUGCUGUACUUAAGGUGGAAAAAGCCCGACAUGGUCAGACCUAUCAAGGUCAGUUUAUGGAUUCCAAUUGUAUUUGUGAUAAUCUGUUUUUUGCUUGUUGUUGUACCCUGUUAUGUUGCUCCAUAUGAAGUUGGAAUUGGUAUUUUAAUCACAUUGACUGGUGUACCUGCAUAUUAUUUUGGAGUUGUUUGUUCUAAACCCAAUUGGUUUAAUAAAAUCCUGUAUGGUGUCACACAUUCAUGUCAGAAAUUGUUUCUUGCCGCUGUUGAAGAACAAGAAGAUCAAAAAUAAUGUAUGGCCAAUAUAUGUUUGGGUAACGGCCAAAUAUUGAGGCCAUAGUACAUAAAUACAUAAUUCGAGCACUAAAUGCAAUUGAAAAAAUAUCUAUUGUUUUGCUUCUGGCUCUAUCUAGAAUACUAAGGCUUAGGAAAUGGUAAAAAGUUAUGCAGAUGAUAAAAUACAGCAAACCAUUAGCUUUUAUUUAGGAUUACUGGAGCUUCAGGCGGCGGUGCCACAUGACCAUGAACAAAACAUUCCCUAAUUAAUCAAAUUCAAUUUAUGCUUUGUUGAGGAUCGUACUUUAUUCAUGAGCAUGUCGACGCAUGGGCAAAUCUGAAAUUUAAGCAUACUACAAUGGAAAAGGUAUGGUAAGGCUCUAAAACGGCUGAAUAGAUUUGGUCAGUCUUAGUCUUGAAAUAUUCGUGCUAAUCCAGAGGUUGUCGAAAAG